GUCAGCGACCAUACCAAGUAGAAAGCACUGUUGCUCGCCCGAUCACCGAAGUUAAACUAUGUCGGACCGGGUUAGAACUUGCAUGGGUGACCGGCUGGGAAUACCCGGCGUUUCUGGCU
rnacentral:rRNA from 1 species